CUAGAGUUUGAUCCUGGCUCAGGACGAACGCUGGCGGCGUGCUUAACACAUGCAAGUCGAGCGGUAAGGCUCCUUCGGGAGUACACGAGCGGCGAACGGGUGAGUAACGCGUGAGCAAUCUGCCCUUCACACGGGGAUAACUCCGGGAAACCGGUGCUAAUACCCGAUACGACCACUUCAGGCAUCUGAUGGUGGUGGAAAGUUCCGGCGGUGAAGGAUGAGCUCGCGGCCUAUCAGCUUGUUGGUGGGGUAACGGCCCACCAAGGCAACGACGGGUAGCCGGCCUGAGAGGGUGACCGGCCACACUGGGACUGAGACACGGCCGAGACUCCUACGGGAGGCAGCAGUGGGGAAUAUUGGACAAUGGGCGAAAGCCUGAUCCACCAACGCCGCGUGAGGGAUGACGGCCUUCAGGUUCUAAUCCUCUUUC
rnacentral:rRNA from 1 species